GAGUGGGCGGAGGGGGAGGUGGAGGCAUCUGCAGCUGGACAGAGAAGUGGUGCUUUGUUUCUCUGUGCCUCAGUUUCCCUCUUGGUAAAAUAGGCAUGGUUCCUCCUAUGGAUGUAAGAAGGACCUAGGAACCUUUGCAAGGGCAGAGGAGUCCGCCCCUCUGGUCUGACUGGGAGACAAGGUGUUCCCCAAUCUGAUGGUGGGGACAAGGUGGCCCAACACAGUGGGAAAAAUAAGGAAACUAAGGAGCUCUCACCAAACCCAUGAGGGAGACAGGAUUGUCCAAAUCCAAUGAAGAAGACAAGAAGCUCCAGUCCUGUGCAGCAAGAACGAGUGUCCAGUCUAUAUUUCCAGUCUGCCAGGGGAGGUGCUGUUCUAGGCGCUGAGGAUGCAGCCGUGCACAAGACGGAUGAAAUCCCUGCCCUCAGGGGCCGACAU
rnacentral:lncRNA from 1 species